AAGCAUUUUUGGGCCCCUCCCUGCACCAGGCACAGUGCCCUGGUGGUGAACACCUCCCGACUCACCCGCCCUCCCAGGAAGUUGACCUGCCUGGGCCUGCCCUCUGAUCUCACCCCUUCAUCGAGAGCGGGCAUGACCGUUCCCAUUUCACGGACGAGGAGACUGAGGCCAGAGAGAGAAAGAGAGCAGGGCCCUGUUACUCCAGAUGGGUGGCUGCCCCACAGGUCUCAGGGCAGAUGCUCUAAGAGGGGGUAGGUGGUGACUGGGGUGUGGCCAGUCCCACCAGAGAUCUGCCUGCCCCAGACCUCAUAACCCCAGGCUUUUCUAUGAAAAGCUCCCUGUGAAGCUGGGCCCAGCUGCACUCCAAUCCUCUUGCCCUGACCUUCUCUGAGCCUCAGUUUUCUCGUCUUGGCAAUGGAGAACAUCAGCUCCCUGAGGGAAGGGAUCUCCAUCUAUGUUGUUCACAGCAGGUCCACAGCACCUGGAACUGACUCUGGCAUAGGAUGUUUGUUCGAAAGACCGUCCACCUCCCUCCCCUUUGGCAGCACACGUGGCCUUAUCUGCGGGCCCAUCUCACACCAGGCCUGUGGGACCGGAAGGGGGUUGCAGGGCCACUGAGCCAGUGCCUCGCAGAGGCUGAGUCCCCUUCUCAGGCCUGAAGACCCCAGAGACUGGAAGCCCCAAGCGCAGCUGCCCCACCAGUGCCCCACAUGCAGCCUGCUCUCCUCCCGGCUCCUGGGCCCCCGGGGAGCUGUUUGCAGUCAGGAUUCCUUCCUCCUCUGUCUGCCAGCGCUGGGCUGUGGGGCCAGACUGCCCGCUCCAAUUCCCCCUGGACACUGGGUCUGUUGUUUAACCUCUCUGGGCUUCCCUUACCUAAGCUGGAAAGUGGAUUAAGUGGGUUAAAUGGAUUAAAUUGUAAACUGUUUACAAAUGCUGUCUGGCACGCAGAAG
rnacentral:lncRNA from 1 species